GCAGACCCUCAGCCUUAAAAAUGAAAUCCUUCUUCUCAUUCAAGACAAUUUUUACACCUUAGAGAGAAAAGGGCUGAAAAAUAAUUAAAAAAACGGCUAAAAAUACAAAAAGUAUUGUUCCAUUGAUAAUCUUUGGGAAAUUCUUGUGAUACUGAUUCUGUGACAAGUUCUAAGCAACUGAAGUUUUAAAUGAGCUGAAUAUGUUUGGUAUACAAGUUUUUGGUUCACUAUUGGGUAGAUUUUGGUUCUGAGCUGUAUGUGAUAUCACUAUGGGUGCAAACUGGGCUAAAGUGGUCUUUUCUCAAUCAUUUCUGGACUGAUUUUGUUGUUGAUUCAUGUUCCUGCUACUGAGUCCAUUACUGAUUCCUCAUUUCUCUGUUUUCUUUUCAAUUUCCAGGUAUUGCCUUCAAACCUUGACGGAAAUGAAGCU
rnacentral:lncRNA from 1 species